rnacentral:lncRNA from 1 species
UAAAAGAUGGAUUUGUGGGGAAGGAAUCUUCCACAAAAGGUAGAGAUUCCGAGCUUGAAUCUAUAUCCCUACUAGGGGAUGCUGAAGGAAUGUGAUGAUUGAAAUGGCUGGAAGAACCUGCUACUUCAAAAUGGUCAUAAUAAAGUGGCAUGAAUUUCUCAGAAAGAGCUGAAUGGGAAUUCUUAGAAUCUGUAGGUUUAAAGGACCUAAAAGGUUGUUUGUCUUUCUUGGGGGCCAUGGUCUUGUGAAUCCUGCAAAAAUUCACGAGUUAGGAAAUCAGGGAUUGAGUUAUUUUCUCCU